UACGUAGGGACCAAGCGUUGUUCGGAUUUACUGGGCGUAAAGGGCGCGUAGGCGGCAAUUCAAGUCAGCUGUGAAAUCUCCGAGCUUAACUCGGAACGGUCAGCUGAUACUGUUUUGCUAGAGUACAGAAGGGGCAAUCGGAAUUCUUGGUGUAGCGGUGAAAUGCGCAGAUAUCAGGAGGAACACCGGUGGCGAAGGCGGUUCUCUGGGCCUGUACUGACGCUGAGGAACGAAAAGCGUGGGGGAGCGAAACAGG
rnacentral:rRNA from 1 species